UCACUCCCCAUCACAGACCAUGGUGCAACAUACUAUAACAUGAUCUCAACGACGUACACGAAACCGCACCGCGCUACACACAUAGCGAGAGACGACGACCUUGGGCGCGCUCACGAGCGUAUCAUCAAUUUCAUCAUGAGGCGUGAGUACCUAAUUGGCUUCGCGCUCAUAGUCGCCGGGCUCUGGCCGCUGCACGCGGCCGCGCAGAAGUACGCCGCUAUCUUCAACUUUGGCGACUCCCUCGCCGACGCCGGCAACCUCGUCGUGGAUGGCAUCCCGGAGUACCUCGCCACGGCGCGCCUGCCGUAUGGCAUGACGUACUUCGGGUACCCGACGGGGCGCGUCUCCGAUGGCCGCCUUGUCGUCGACUUCAUCGCGCAGGAGCUGGGUCUGCCUCUGCUGCCGCCGUCCAAGGCGCACAACGCGUCGUUCCACCGUGGUGCCAACUUCGCGAUCACCGGCGGCACGUCGCUGGACACGAGCUUCUUUGAGGCGCGUGGGAUGAGGCACACGGUCUGGAACUCCGGCUCCCUGCACACCCAGCUCAAGUGGUUUGAAGACAUGAAGCCAUCCAUCUGCAAUUCCCCGAAAGAGUGCAGGGACCUGUUCCGGCGGUCGCUGUUCAUCGUCGGCGAGUUUGGCGGGAACGAUUACGCGGCGGCGCUCGGCGCGUUCCUCCCGGUGCAGAAGGUGCACACAUUCGUGCCGCACAUCGUCGACUCCAUCGGCAAGGGAAUCGAGAAGCUGAUCGCGGAGGGGGCGGUGGAGCUGGUGGUGCCGGGCGUGCUGCCGAUCGGCUGCUUCCCCGUGUACCUGUCCAUCUUCCUCAAGCAGCAGCCGGAGAUGUACGGCCCGCGCAGCGGCUGCAUCAAGGACCUUAACACGCUCUCCUGGGUGCACAACGCCCUGCUGCAGCGGAAGAUCGCCGAGCUCCGGAAGAAGCACCCCGGCGUGCGCAUCAUGUACGCCGACUACUACACCGCCGUCACGCAGUUCGUCCUGCACGCCGACAACUGGGACCACUUAAUUUUUCCCGGAAAAGCAUGAUGGUCAAUAGUUGACCAGGAAGCACUGAAGGCCCAUAGAAGCAUGGACCCCCUUGAUGGGCUUAGUUCACCAUGGGUUCUUGCAGCAGACUCCAAGGACAUGCUGCGGCGCGCCGGGCGUGGGGGUGUACAACUUCAACCUGACGUCCAAGUGCGGCGAGCCAGGCGCUUACGCCUGUGACGACCCGUCAAACCACUGGAACUGGGACGGCGUCCACCUCACGGAGGCAGCCUACGGCCACAUCGCCAAGGGAUGGCUCUACGGGCCCUUCGCCGACCCGCCCAUCCUAGAGGCAUGACAAUGUUAGAACUUAGAAGUGAUCACAAAAUAUCUCAUGCAUCGGGACAUAUGCAUCUCAAUUAUCGAUUAGAACUUUUAGAAAAUAAAUCAUAAAAUAAGGGUGUAGGCACAGCAGAUAUUUUGGGUGUGUUUGGUACUUUGGUAGCAUGUAUGGACCUGGCCGCCCAGUUGUUCUCCUCUCAUACAUGCUGAGUGCAGACAUAUGCUUAGUCCAUGCAUUUGCUGUUGUUCGGCACCGAUGUAUGCGCUGAGACAUUCUGAAUUGAGACUUUGUUUGGUA